AGUCUGCCUGCUGAACCGAAGAAAGAAAACCACAACUGAACAUCUUGUUAUGAUCUUGAUUCUUUCCCUGAAAACAAACUGGUAAAUUGAGAUGGAGACCUGGAACGGAUUGAGAAACUGCCUGUCUGUUCAUAGCAGAUUGGUUGUCCAGAUUGUUGAUAGUCUACUGACUCUGUUUAGGAAUGAGUAUACACAUACCACACCACUUUGGCACCAACUGAAUCAUUUGAAAGAAGAAAAAGGUGCAAUUCCUAAGGCAACUGAUUGACCCCCAUUGUCAUCUGUCUACCAUCGCUUCCUUUCCCACUUCCCAUUAGCUUCCCUGGCAAAUUGAAAUUAUAUCAAAAGGACACCUGUGGUGAAAUCACAGCGCAGAUCCCACCUUUAUGUACUUCCAUCCUAACAUCUGAUGCAAGAAGUAAGUUGUGGUGUUUGUGUCAUGAGGUGUGUUUGGUCCUCUGCCUCCCAUAGAUGCCAGUUCCUGCCAAAUCCCUCCCCCCAUGUAUACCCCUUCCAAAAGAAGACCUUUUCUUUCUAAAAAGUGAACACAGUUUAUAGAAGAAAUUUGUUUAACACAUCGGCAAAUAUUUGCAUGAUUUUUAGCUUCCUGUUGAAGUUCUUUUUCUCUCU